CAUGAUUUCCGUAUCGGGUCCCUCUCUUUCUCUCAGCUCUUCCGCUGCUUCCUCUUCCUAUGUUUCUUCAACGUUUACGUACCGCGUUUUUCAGAACGUAGCUGCAGAAGGGUAAUAUUCUGACGGACUGAUGCUGGAGGGUUGGAGACCGCAUUAAUGAAGUUUGAAGACAGUCGACACCGAAGACCUACUAAAUCGGGACUCCCUACGACUGAGGCGGUGAACGGGAUAGCGAUAACGACAACAACUACGUCGACGACGGUGAUACCAGGAUGACGACGAUCGAAGGAUAAGUCCCGGUGCAAACGACGAUGCUCCGAGGGGUCUGUACUGCGGGGUCGCGUAAGUUGAGUCAAUUGUGAAUUGGCGUGUCAACUACCUGCGUGCCACUGCUUAACGUGACAUGACCGGGGCCUCGUACGAGCGCGAAUGCCUUCUCCUCACUGAUCGUCGAAUCAACGAACCGCCGGCGGACCCCAUCCAGAAGUCGCCGUUAGCGUCGAGGUACGGGCACAGAGGGGCACGUACCGGCGUACAGCUAAGUAAAUGCGCUACCAACGCCGAGGAGAAGCACGAUAUGCUGGACUCUAACUCUAAUUGCAAUUGGCGGACCUCCGCCCCCGCUGCCUCUUCCAAAUCUGACUCCGUCGACGCUCCUCCGCGGCAUCUCUCCUUGCGGUAUCACACUUGAAAUCCGGUGCCCUGCAAGUAUGUACGUACGUAUCAACGAGCCCUUGCGGUCACCGUGGACUCGAUGUACAUCUUGUAAUGCCUGGUGAAAUUUUUCACAACCCCCCCCCAUACCCCAAAAACAAUGCUUGACUUGUAAACAAUCAAUUACGGUUACGACCCCGUUUAUCAAUUCUCAUCCGUGUUGUGUUUGAUUUUCGUUCACUUCGCGCAGCUUUUUUUCGUCAGACACUUUUUUGUCGUUCCACUGUAACGUGGCGAGAAUUCGACGUAUUCGCAAUUCGUAUACGAACAUAGGUGGAUGGGUCUACACUCUUUCAUUGAUUAAUGUUCGUUGAUUUAUUUACCCAUUCAUUAUAAGAAAGAGUAGCGUCGCGAGAAGACGAGUUUCUUCCGGUCGAGCUUUCAAUUCGCUUCUGUCGCUCUGUGCCGUACCCGUGUUCGCCGCAGGGUCUGUACGGCGGAGUCUUCACUCGCAAGUUGCGAUAACCCAACUGUAUUGGUACGGAUAUCGUUACACGUACUAUUAUGUAAACACUUACAUCUAUAGCAUUGUAUCAAAAAAUAAAUGUAUCAGAUCGGUCGAGGUUUCAGGUGAAAACACGUCUGGAUUAUCGACUAUUUCCACACCAUUGCCGCUGCAGUCCAGGCUGUGAAAUAAUUUACAUACCUAGAUUGUAACUAAUUAGUUUACGCCCGUUACAAUGGGUAUUUGAUGAAUACCGAUCUUGGAAUUGAAUGCAAACGGUACGCUUAAACAGAAUUAGGUAGGUACACGUACAUAUUUUCACAUUCUACCAUAGAUACAUUAUAUUCCACCUCGCGAGGCUUGCGUGUUAUUAUAAUAGCGGCAACUAUUCUCGUAUAAGCAGCUAUACCCAUUACGAUUAGCACACUUUUCUGUGUCGAGGAAUUUCAAGUUGUGCAACAUAUAACGUUGCACUCUCGUUUGUUGAAAAUUUUUGCAUUCGCACACGAAACUGCGUAAUCGCGAAACCUCUAUAAUGGUCGGUAGUGAAAAUGAACUUGAACGAUGUGGUGCUGUACGUACAAUGAUAGGUAUGUAUAAUACCUCGGGCAAAUAAUAAAACACCAUGGGACAAUGCGCACAGUGCCCAUGGGAUGAGAUAGCAAUAAACCGAUGCAUGUGUACAAUACCUAUUGGACCUUGAAAUUAUAAGUAUAAUGUUGAAAGAAUCCUUUUCUCAUUCAUCAGCGUAGCUGACUAUUAAUUACGAAUGCAUUUUGUAGAAGGUAUAAAUAGGUAUCCUUAUGGUCAUAAAAAUCGCUAUAAAUACACAAAUACCUCCAACCUUCUGGACUUAAUGUCUGCACUUUGUUAAGAAAAAAGAAUCGAACUACUACAAAAAAUGUGAGAAAAAAUUGUAAAUUUUUACAAGGGACGCAGUGGUUUUCGCUCUAAACGACUAACUGUGUAUUUCCUUGUUAUGUUAAGAAUUCAGAAUCAUAAUUUUCGCUAUUUUUGAAGUUGAGAAAUAGAGCGACGUACGAGUGAAAUAAAUGGAUCUGGAAGAAAGAUGGGAUAAUCGUUCAUUGGAAAUUAUCGCGCUUUGACAUAACCGAAUAUGACUCCGAUGAAAAAUAAUUACUGUUUCGGUACAACCGCAAAUUAUUGACUGUCAACGAAAAAGCAGAAAGAUGGAUGGAGCGAAUUCCUGUCAUGGAUAAAAGCUAAUUAUCUUGAAAUAUAUAUUGCAUAGAAUAUGAUAAAAUCUUUCGCCGUAACGGUACACCUGCCGCUAUGUCAGUGCAUAGGUACCUCCUCGCCAUGACUUUCUCAUAUACUCCGCAUCGGAGUAGAUCACAACACAUUAAUUUUUCAUUACGAAUUAAUUGCAAUUGUAUUACCGCUAAAUUAUCAUAUAAAAAUCAUAUGCGCAGGCUCCUAAUUUGCCGCGGUAUCUUCUACCCGUAUGUAUUAUUAGAUACCAGUGUAAAUAUACCACAAAUGUAUAGUAUGCGUACUUUACAAACUAUCACGAUGUAAGUAGCUGGGUGAUUUGCGACAUUCGGUGUCAAGGGCACGUAAUUCAUUCAUUACCCCCUACAAUACGGUGGUUGGAUAUGAAUACAUGCGCAUAUUCUUGACGAGGGUGAAUUUUGGAGAACGUUUCGCGUGGCAUGCCAAGAAAAAACAGCGGGUGCGAACUGUUGCAGGUUGAUGUAGGAACAUUAGGAACAUGGUGGAUUGUAAUGCGAAUCGUUUUCAACGCUGGCAUAAUAACGUCUCCGCGAACGUCGCCGUUGGUGAAUCACAUAACUACCGUUGGAAAAAACAAAAUAUGAAUCAACCAUCAACCUUUGCCAACGACUUACAAGGUUCGAGCAAUUUCACUCGAUUACUGAACAUCCGAUUAGUGAAUCGCUCUUCUUGCGUGCAUAUACUCGUAUACACACUAUGUACCUAUACCCAUACAUACAACACACACGUAUGCAAUACACCUAUUACACCUAUAGGUAUUGUAUACGUACAUAUGUAUACCACGAGGGUUUCAUAUGAAUGUAGGUGGCCACCACACACGAAUACAUUUCAUCGUUGGACACGCGUUCGACAGACAGCGCAUCCAAUUCCUAUGUAAGUAUCUAUACACACAUCGAUAGCCCAAUGUAUAUAAUUCACGCAUGGACAUGCUCUGGUCGCAACUGUGUAUCCUGAUAACUAUACGUAUCGUAUAAUAAUGUUACAUACAAGUACGUUUAUGUAUAUUUAUAGCCGUAUGGUAUAAAGGAACGUAUUACACUCACACGUCUGACUAAUAUAUUUAUACGUUCGAAGACACACCCCCUUCGAGUUCAGAUAAGAUACCGCAGUUCCAUAAAAAUUUGGCGUUACCACCCUAUUGACAAAAUUGUGCAUAAUGAAAAAUGAGAUAAUGGCUAAGACAACGGUGCUGAAAAUGGUUUACGGGAUAAACGAGACAAUGAUGCAGGUUACUUACUAUAGCAACAUAAACGUUGAUUAAUUUCUCGCUUAUCGGGAAACACCGAAUAUUUAUGCGUGGGACAUAUUUGCGCAAAUUGCAGUUAAUUACGGCGAAUCAUCGUGUAGAGUAUACUGCAUAGAUCAAGUUAUAGUGAAAUCCUUCGAGCGACAAUUGUUAAGUAUCAGAAUAAAAAUAAACUGAUAUGAGUUA